ACUCCUACGGGAGGCAGCAGUGGGGAAUAUUGCACAAUGGGCGCAAGCCUGAUGCAGCUAUGCCGCGUGUGUGAAGAAGGCCUUAGGGUUGUAAAAGCACUUUCAGUAGUGAGGAAAGGUGUAUAGUUAAUAGCAUUACACUGUGACGUUAGCUACAGAAGAAGCACCGGCAAACUCCGUGCCAGCAGCCGCGGUAAUACGGGAGGGGUGCGAGCGUUAAUCGGAAUUACUGGGGCGUAAAGCGCGCGUAGGCGGUUAAUUUAAGUUGAGGUGUGAAAUCCCUAGGGCUCAACCUAGGAACUGCAUUUCAAACUAGGAUAACUUGAGGUAUGUCA
rnacentral:rRNA from 1 species